rnacentral:rRNA from 1 species
GCUUGACUCUAGUCUGACGUUGUGAAAUGACUUGGGAGGUGUAGAAUAAGUGGGAGGGCAACCGAUCUUGAAAUACCACUACUCUCAACGUUGUUUUACUUAUUCCGUGAAGUACAGCCCGCGUGUGGAGACAUGCGCGGUUCUAGACCGAAGCGGGUGCGGCGUGAGCCGCUGCCCGUGAUGUACGCGGACGACAUCGUCAGGUGGGGAGUUUGGCUGGG